GAUGAACGCUGGCGGCGUGCCUAAUACAUGCAAGUCGAGCGAACAGACGAGGAGCUUGCUCCUCUGACGUUAGCGGCGGACGGGUGAGUAACACGUGGAUAACCUACCUAUAAGACUGGGAUAACUUCGGGAAACCGGAGCUAAUACCGGAUAAUAUAUUGAACCGCAUGGUUCAAUAGCGAAAGACGGUUUUGCUGUCACUUAUAGAUGGAUCCGCGCCGCAUUAGCUAGUUGGUAAGGUAACGGCUUACCAAGGCAACGAUGCGUAGCCGACCUGAGAGGGUGAUCGGCCACACUGGAACUGAGACACGGUCCAGACUCCUACGGGAGGCAGCAGUAGGGAAUCUUCCGCAAUGGGCGAAAGCCUGACGGAGCAACGCCGCGUGAGUGAUGAAGGUCUUCGGAUCGUAAAACUCUGUUAUUAGGGAAGAACAAAUGUGUAAGUAACUAUGCACGUCUUGACGGUACCUAAUCAGAAAGCCACGGCUAACUACGUA
rnacentral:rRNA from 1 species